AGCUCCAAUAGCGUAUAUUUAAGUUGUUGCAGUUAAAAAGCUCGUAGUUGGAUCUUGGGUCGUAAGGGUCGGUCCGCCUACUCGGUGUGCACCUGCCCUUCCGUCCCUUUUGUCGGCGGCGUGCUCCUGGCCUUAAUUGGCUGGGUCGCGGUUCCGGCGCUGUUACUUUGAAAAAAUUAGAGUGCUCAAAGCAAGCUUAUGCUCUGAAUACAUUAGCAUGGAAUAACGUGAUAGGAGUCUGGUCCUAUUGUGUUGGCCUUCGGGACCGGAGUAAUGAUUAAUAGGGACUGUCGGGGGCAUUCGUAUUUCAUUGUCAGAGGUGAAAUUCUUGGAUUUAUGAAAGACGGACCACUGCGAAAGCAUUUGCCAAGGAUGUUUUCAUUA
rnacentral:rRNA from 1 species